GAAAUGCGAUAAGUAAUGUGAAUUGCAGGAUUCAGUGAAUCAUCGAAUCUUUGAACGCACCUUGCGCUCCUUGGUAUUCCUUGGAGCAUGCCUGUUUGAGUAUCAUGAAAUCUUCAAAGUAAAUCUUUUGUUAACUCAAUUGGUUUCUACUUUGGUAUUGGAGGUCUUUGCAGCUUCACACUUGCUCCUCUUUGUUCAUUAGCUGGAUCUCAGUGUUAUGCUUGGUUCCACUCGGCGUGAUAAGUUAUCUAUCGCUGAGGACACUGUAAAAGGUGGCCAAGGUAAAUGCAGAUGAACCGCUUCUAAUAGUCCAUUGACUUGGACAAUACUUUUAUGAUCUGAUCUCAAAUCAGGUAGGACUACCCGCUGAACUUAAGC
rnacentral:misc_RNA from 1 species